GGCGUGUACUGCUUGGCUGGGCCUUACUUCUUGGUGAGCCGGCGUGCCCUUUAUUGGUGUGCGUCGGGGAACCAGGACUUUUGCCUUGAGAAAAUUAGAGUGUUCAAAGCAGGCCUAUGCCUGAAUACAUUAGCAUGGAAUAAUAGAAUAGGACGUGCGGUUCUAUUUUGUUGGUUUCUAGAGUCGCCGUAAUGAUUAAUAGGGACAGUUGGGGGCAUUGGUAUUGAGUCGCUAGAGGUGAAAUUCUUGGAUUGACUCAAGACCGACUAUUGCGAAAGCAUUUGCCAAGGAUGUUUUCAUUAAUCAAGAACGAAGGUUAGGGGAUCGAAAACGAUCAGAUACCGUUGUAGUCUUAACAGUAAACUAUGCCGACUAGGGAUUGGAUGACCUCAAAAUUGAUGUGUCAUUUGGCACCUUACGAGAAAUCAAAGUCUUUGGGUUCUGGGGGGAGUAUGGUUGCAAGGCUGAAACUUAAAGGAAUUGACAGAAGGGCACCACCAGGUGUGGAGCCUGCGGCUUAAUUUGACUCAACACGGGGAAACUCACCAGGUCCAGACAUAACUAGGAUUGACAGAUUGAUAGCUCUUUCAUGAUUUUAUGGGUGGUGGUGCAUGGCCAUUCUUAGUUGGUAGAGUGAUUUGUCUGGUUAAUUCCGAUAACGAACGAGACCUUAACCUGCUAAAUAGCCAGGCCGGCUUCAGCUGGUCUCUGGCUUCUUAGAGGGACUGUCAG
rnacentral:rRNA from 1 species